GCGAGGGGACGCGGGGCAGGGGGAGAGCAAGGGCAGCGCCACGCCACGCCACGCCACGCACAGCCACGGAGGGGAGAUGCCCCGCAACAAUCCCAAAGACUUCUCCGACACACAAAGAGAAAACUGUCUUGGGAUUCUCAAUGCCCAGCCCAAACAUCAUGUGAUGAUGAGACCAGAAAAAACUCCUUAAGUGAAAAGACAGAGAGAGCCCAUCUGCUGGUCCAUCUCCACAAAUGCCUGUGGCGGCAGAGGAUGGCCUCAUGUGGAGUCAGGAGCUGGAAAAUGCAGUCCAGGUCUGCCACGUGGGUGACAGGAA